GUAGUCUCACUUGCUUGAAGGUUGCUGCUGCUGAUAUGGUGGACGACAACAAAAGGUCUGGAGAGGAGAGGUCUAAUAAAGCCUGCUUUCUGGUGGGCUCCAGACAUGUUGUUCUGAGAAUCUAUUUUGGUCUGGAGUUGCUGAUUCACCCUCACCAGACUGUACAGUAUCUGGCAGGAAGAUCUCCGAGAGCCUCAGACUACUUAGGGAAAUGAUUGCCUAUGUGCCAAGUAAAACUUUCGAACACGCACCUGGAUGUAGCUUGGAUGGUGUUGGGACCAGCGCUCGUUGUCAUAUUGUUCACGCACAACUGGACUCUGCACCACCAUAUGUUGCUCUCAGGAGUUCAAAGCCAACACAGUAUGGAGCUGGAGGAAGACAGCAGGACAGGCAGCAUCAGAGGAGCAGGAAAGUUGACGUUUUGAGUUGGGACCCUUCUUCAGAAAAAGCUGUAGUUUCCAUUUCGUGCGUUACAUAUUUUCCCUGGUAUGCCUUGUCUCUGCGUUUUUCAGAGGAUGGUAAAGGCACUACUUUUACCAUCAUUGGACAUUUUCUGUAUGGGCUUUGGUGACUAAAAUGCUCUUAUUUCCUGAGCACUUUUUUAGCUUUUGUGUGGGCUUUCCCUCACUAUGGUCCGUUAUGUGGGUUUCUUUCUUUUCAAAUUUUUUUUUAAUGGGACAUAGAUACGGCCAUCAUUUAUUUCUUAUCAUUAAUUUGCAGUUGAGCUGAGUAGCUUGCUGGGCCAUUUCAGAAGGCAUUUAAGAGUCAACCACUCUGCUCCGUGUCUCGAGUCCCACGUAGGCCAGUGCAGCUUGUAGAUGAAAGUGAUGAUACCCUUCCUCAUAGAUUCGCACAUGCUAACUGCCAGAAGCAAAAAUGUCAAACACUCCAGUAGAUCCUGGCAAAUCAAGUCCCACUUCCGGGAGUUUUAUUCUUUUCUAAGGAUUCGAAGGUGUUGGUCAGCUCAUCCAGAGCUAAUGCCUCGUCCAACUUCUCCCACGUGCUGUCGUCUAAGCUCUACAGUCUGUUCCCUGGGACGCACACCACGACAAACAUCAAAAGGUCCUGGAUGACCAGCAAGCCGGUGAAAGACACUCUUUGGUCUGCCCAGAACUUGUCGAUCUUCCAGAGCAAAGAGUUGAUCUUGACCAAGUGUGGCAGACUGGCACAUUCCAAGGUCCAGGACUAUGUGCUGACAGAAGCACUACAGCUUGGGGCAGCUCUUGCCAGGGCAGGGUGGGGAAAGACCACCGUCUGAGGUCUUUCAGCUGAAGUUAAAUGGGGGUCCAUUCAGUUAUUGGGAUCUCCCAAUGCCUCAAAUAUAUCUAAAUAUAGUCUUGUACAAAUAAAAAAUGCCUUGGUUUGUUUGCUGGAUGGAGUC